CGGCAACAGCUCAAAUUUGAAAUCUGGCUCUCGGGCCCGAGUUGUAAUUUGUAGAGGAUACUUUUGAUGCGGUGCCUUCCGAGUUCCCUGGAACGGGACGCCAUAGAGGGUGAGAGCCCCGUCUGGUUGGAUGCCAAAUCUCUGUAAAGUUCCUUCAAC
rnacentral:rRNA from 1 species